CAAUUCUGUAUUCACUUUUUGAGUGCAUAAGGGUAAUAGAAAAUGACAUGGGAAGCGUUAAUUAGAAAAAAAGGCAUUUUGUUUAUGUGCAUUUGAGGAUACAGUGUUUGAAGUUUCUAAAUAAUUGUUUUAUGACAUUUUCUUGGUACAUAGAUAUUGCUAACAAUUAGUUUGCUGAAGUAUGUAGAAACAUUUUAAGAAAUGAUUUUAGAAAUAUAAUUGUUAAAGUACCUCUGAGUGAUGUAUAUUAAAAAUCCUUUUAUUUUGGUUU
rnacentral:sRNA from 1 species